CUUAUGAUGGCGACCGGCGCACGGGUGCGUAACGCGUAUGGCAACCUACCUUUUACAGGGGCAUAACACUGAGAAAUUGGUACUAAUUCCCCAUAAUAUCUGAGACGGCAUCGUUUUGGGUUGAAAACUCCGGUGGUAAAAGAUGGGCAUGCGUUGUAUUAGCUAGUUGGUGAGGUAACGGCUCACCAAGGCGACGAUACAUAGGGGGACUGAGAGGUUAACCCCCCACAUUGGUACUGAGACACGGACCAAACUCCUACGGGAGGCAGCAG
rnacentral:rRNA from 1 species